CGUCGCGUGCGGUUUCGUUCUUGCUCCUGAGCGGCUGUCGCGUCCUGUUCGCGUCGUUCGCUUCGCUAUCUCUCGUUGUUCGUCAAUAUUCAAAGUGCGCUUCGAUGUUCCGCUGUCGCCGUUAGUUUUUUGAACUAACAAAAAAAAUUGUUUAACGCCCAAUCCCGGAAUGUCUAAACAAUCCUGUAUUAAUGGAAAUCAAAGUACAUCAAAAUAAAAUUAAAUGCCAUAAAUAAAAUCGCAUAUAUAAAAAAGGGGAAAUAAAAUAAAAAUACAAAAACAAAACAAAAACAAAAUACGAGCUUUUGGCAGCUUGAUGUGACCCGUGUGAGUAGCUGCGUCUGAUAUCUAAAUUUACAAGCGUGCUCCAUUAAAUAUUAAAAUACUUGAGCCGCCUCUGCAACCAGGUUCCAUCUACCAUUUACCAUCUACUACCAUCAUCUACUACCAUCAACAAGCAGCAUCCUCUCGCUGUGCGGUUUCCUGUCGCCUGAGCUGUCACUUUAGCUGGGUUUCUUUCUUUCUGUUAUUUUUUUUGUGGAUUGAAGAACACAAAAUAAAAUGGACUCGUUGAUCAACGUUACGU